AAGUCGAGCGCCCCGCAAGGGGAGCGGCAGACGGGUGAGUAACGCGUGGGAAUCUACCCAUCUCUACGGAAUAACGCAUGGAAACGUGUGCUAAUACCGUAUACGUCCUUCGGGAGAAAGAUUUAUCGGAGAUGGAUGAGCCCGCGUUGGAUUAGCUAGUUGGUGGGGUAAAGGCCUACCAAGGCGACGAUCCAUAGCUGGUCUGAGAGGAUGAUCAGCCACACUGGGACUGAGACACGGCCCAGACUCC
rnacentral:rRNA from 1 species